ACAACAACAACAACAAAAAUAUCCCAUGAUCACCCUGGUUUUUCCAGGGUGAGGCUCAUCCAUUGCACUCCGGAUGUGCUGACCCCUGUGAUUUCCCCAAAUGUGGGAAACUUGACUGCCUAAUUUUGGUAGUGGGGGACUGCAUUUGCGCUCUCCCCUG